rnacentral:rRNA from 1 species
UACAGAGGGGGCAAGCGUUGUUCGGAAUUACUGAGCGUAAAGGGCGCGUAGGCGGCCUCUUAAGUCGAACGUGAAAUCCCCGGGCUCAACCCGGGAACUGCGUCCGAUACUGGGAGGCUUGAAUCCGGGAGAGGGAUGUGGAAUUCCAGGUGUAGCGGUGAAAUGCGUAGAUAUCUGGAGGAACACCGGUGGCGAAGGCGGCAUCCUGGACCGGUAUUGACGCUGAGGCGCGAAAGCCAGGGGAGCAAACGGG